rnacentral:lncRNA from 1 species
AUGUAUGCCUGUCUACAUGUGUAUCUACGUGUGUAUCUGUCUACAUAUGUAUCUGUCUAUGUGUGUAUCUGUCUACAUGUGUAUCUAUGUGUCUGUCUACGUGUGUGUCUAUGUGUCUGUCUACGUGUGUGUCUAUGUGUGUAUCUGUCUACGUGUGGUAUCUGUCCACGUGUUUAUCUAUGUGUUUGUCUGUCUAUAUGUGUAUUUGUCUAUGUGUGUAUCCGUCUAUGUGUGUGUCUGUCUGUCUACGUGUGUAUCUGUCUAUGUGUUUGUCUAUGUGUGUAUCUGUCUAUGUGUAUAUGUCUGUCUACAUGUAUAUCUGUCUGUAAACGUGUGUAUCUGUCUACAUGUGUAUCUGUCUAUGUGUUUGUCUACUUGUGUAUCCAUCUACAUGUGUAUCUGUCUAUGUGUGUAUCUGUGUUUGUCUACGUGUGUAUCUAUGUGUUUGUCUAUGUGUGUAUCUAUGUGUGUAUCUGUCUACAUGCGUAUUAUCUAUGUGUAUCUGUCUAUGUGUGUAUCUGUCUACGUGUGUAUCUGUCUACGUGUGUAUCUGUCUGUGUCUACAUGUGUAUCUGUCUAUGUGUGUAUCUGUCUGUGUCUACAUGUGUAUCUGUCUACGUGUGUAUCUGCUAUGUGUGUAUCUGUCUGUCUACGUGUGUAUCUGUCUACGUGUGUGUAUCUGUCUGUCUUCCCUGUCUAGCACUACGAGACACUCUGGGCUCAUCUCAGGUCUGUAGCAGGAGCCCUGGCUGUCACCCACUACAGAUUAGAGACCACGGGGCUGAGGAUCAUGGUGUGAGACCUUGGUCUCUGUGCCAGGGGCUGGUCCUCACGGCUCACAGACUCACCCACUUCAAGGAGUCCCAGGGUUUCCAUCCACAACAACUGGGGACGGCUCCACUCCACCACUCCUGGGAAUCCCAGCCCCUCCCACGCAGGUGGAGAACCAGCUUUGCCGUUCACCGCGCAGGUACUGCCCUGGCCGACGCUGCCGUGAGCAUGGACCGCCGGCCGUGA